rnacentral:rRNA from 1 species
GCUUAGCCUUAAACCUCAGUAAUUAAAUCAACAAAACUACUCGCCAGAAUACUACAAGCAACGGGUUGAAACUCAAAGGACUUGGCGGUGCUUCACAUCCCCCUAGAGGAGCCUGUCCCGUAAUCGAUAAACCCCGAUCCACCUAACCCUCUCUUGCUCAGCCUAUAUACCGCCAUCUUCAGCAAACCCUGAUAAAGGUUACAAAGUGAGCGCAAAUGCCUCCCUUCGCAAAAACGUUAGGUCAAGGUGUAGCCCAUGAGACGGUAAAAGAUGGGCUACAUUUUCUACCUCAGAAAACCCUACGACAACUCUUAUGAAACCUAAGAAUCCAAGGAGGAUUUAGCAGUAAAUUAAGAAUAGAGCGCUUAAUUGAACUAGGCCAUAAAGCACGC